rnacentral:lncRNA from 1 species
CUCAGAGGCUUUGAAGAACAAAGCCGUUUUUGAAAACUGCAAUGCUGGGUUCCAAUUCCACCUCCCAAACUGCAAGCAGCUUGCUGUCCUGCUGUGUGCCUCAGUUUCCCCACCUAUAGAAAGAGAGUCGGACAUGUGACAGGCAUUCUGAAAAUUGUCAUGUCCUGGCAUACUGCUUCCAGCUGGGAAGGACUUCAAAUAAAAUGAAGCCAUGCAAGUAGAUGCAUGCCGUAAGGCUAUGAGGGAGAGAAGCAGCACAGUGAAUUUUUUGUAUUAUUUCCACCUUAGUUGGUGGAGUGCUUGCCGUGUGUUAGGGCUAAACUUCUUCCUGUCCUUACAGACAGGGUUUGCCCAGAAGAAUGAUGCAUCCUAUACAGGUGCACACUGACGGCAGCCACAUUCCCCUCCAGAAACUCCAAGUUUGGCCUUCCUACAUGUGUUUCAAGGAUCUGGAAACAAUAAAGCUCUACCACAGGCUCCUCAUCUGUGAGGGAAGAAAGUCAGAGUUCUUGGAAGAUCCAGCUCACUUGACAUAUGAUGAGAACCUCCAGGGAGAAAACCUCCAUGCCUAAGGCCAGGAAAACGUCCCCAGUGUGAGCAGGGCCACCGUGUCCAAAGCAGAUGAAUGCUGUUUCAGGAAGCCAGCAGACCCGGGUGCACAGGCAGCUUGUGUUGGGACUGCACAGCCAAUGACAGACGUCUGGAGCCCAUUGCACCUCCCCAGCCCCACAGGGAGCUGCCAGAGUGGCUCACAUAUGUGAGGCUUUGCCUCUCAGCCAUCACCCAUCUGCCCAGUCUCACUUGAGGAAAACCUGUCCUGGGAAAGUGACCUGACCCAGAAAAAUAAAGCCAUCGUCUUUAAGAGCAGCCUGCUGUCAUCCAACCCAAGCACGCCACUGUCUGUCCCCUGGACGUGUCUUUGCCCAGACCCACCAGCCAGCAACUCCAGCAAACAGAAAUGGGAUGCUCCUGGAAAGAGAGUGUGAGAGCAUCCCUUGGUCUGGUUAAUGUGAGCAACUUCCCUGAUACUUGUCAUAGCAGCUUGUGUCAGAGAAGCGGAAAAAUUAUUAAAAUUGUGAAAUUGGUACUUGAGGAGCACCUAGCAUUUUUUUUCUGAUGUUUUGAUAUACUGAGAUAGCUGGG